AACCAGCACCUCAAGUGGUCAGGAUGAUUAUUGGGCCUAAAGCAUCCGUAGCCUGUUCUGUAAGUUUUCGGUUAAAUCUAUGCGCUCAACGUAUAGGCUGCCGAAAAUACUGCAGAACUAGGGAGUGGGAGAGGUAGACGGUACUCGGUAGGAAGGGGUAAAAUCCUUUGAUCUAUUGAUGACCACCUGUGGCGAAGGCGGUCUACCAGAACACGUUCGACGGUGAGGGAUGAAAGCGUGGGGAGCAAACAGG
rnacentral:rRNA from 1 species